rnacentral:tRNA from 1 species
UCCCUGGUGGUCCAGUUGGUUAAGAUUUUGAGCCUCCAAUGCAAGGGGUGCAGGUUCGAUUCCUGGUCAGGGAA